ACAGAGAACCAAGAAGGCUGAGUCUGAUGAAGGAAGAUUUUGCUGAUAUACUCCUAGGGAAAAACAUUUGGACAGACAAGCCCUAUUGGGGAGGAUGGGGGACUACAGGGCUGACUGUAUAAUAUUAAAAAA
rnacentral:snoRNA from 1 species